rnacentral:rRNA from 2 species
UUGGCCUCGGAUCAGGUGGGGAUACCCGCUGAACUUAAGCAUAUCAAUAAGCGGAGGAAAAGAAACCAACAGGGAUUGCCUUAGUAACGGCGAGUGAAGCGGCAACAGCUCAAAUUUGAAAUCUGGCUUACGCCCGAGUUGUAAUUUGUAGAGGAUGCUUCGGGUGAAGCCGCGGUCCAAGUCCCUUGGAACAGGACGUCAUAGAGGGUGAGAACCCCGUACCUGGCCGCCGGUGCCCCCCGCUGUGAAGCUCCUUCGACGAGUCGAGUUGUUUGGGAAUGCAGCUCUAAAUUGGUGGUAAAUUCCAUCUAAAGCUAAAUACCGGCCAGAGACCGAUAGCGCACAAGUAGAGUGAUCGAAAGAUGAAAAGCACUUUGAAAAGAGAGUUAAAAAGUACGUGAAAUUGUUGAAAGGGAAGCGCUUGCGGCCAGACUUGCCCGCGGUUGCUCAGCCCGCCCUUUGGCAGGUGCACUCUUCCGCGGUCAGGCCAGCAUCGGUUUGGGCGGUCGGAUAAAGACGUUGGGAACGUGGCCUCCCCUCGGGGAGGUGUUACAGCCUAUCGUGCAAUGCGACCAGCCUGGAUCGAGGUUCGCGCUCUGCUAGGAUGCUGC